AUUGAACGCUGGCGGCAGGCCUAACACAUGCAAGUCGAGCGGAGCGGCGGACGGGUGAGUAAUGCAUAGGAAUCUGCCUGGUAGUGGGGGAGAACUACCGGAAACGGACGCUAAUACCGCACACUCGCAGAUGCACCUAGGUCGGAUUGACUAGGUGGUGGGGUAAAGGCCUACCAAGGCGGCGACCCGUAACUGGUCUGAGAGGAUGAUCAGUCACACUGGAACUGAGACACGGUCCAGACUCCUACGGGAGGCAGCAGUGGGGAAUAUUGGACAAUGGGCGAAAGCCUGAUCCAGCCAUGCCGCGUGUGUGAAGAAGGUCUUCGGAUUGUAAAGCACUUUAAGUUGGGAGGCGUUACCGACAGAAUAAGCACCGGCUAACUUCGUGCCAGCCGCCGCGGUAAUAC
rnacentral:rRNA from 1 species